rnacentral:rRNA from 1 species
CUUGACGAUCAUAGAGCGUUGGAACCACCUGAUCCCUUCCCGAACUCAGAAGUGAAACGACGCAUCGCCGAUGGUAGUGUGGGGUCUCCCCAUGUG